AUUUCCUUCUUUAGAUGGGUUAGUUUGGUUCUAAUCAGGGAAAGCCAUUAAUUUUUCCAUCUAAUCAUUGUAGAAACCUUGCAAUAUUGUGUAUAUGUAAACAUACACAAUCGUAAAUGUUUGGAUAUCAAACUCUUCACAAGUGUUUGUAGGAGAGGAAGUAUAGGUGAGAAAAGAUUAGGGUCAGUCACAGAUUCUGCAAAAAGAGAGGAUUAUCAAGGUACUAUUCAGGAAAAGCGAGAUCAUUCAUAUGUAUCUCAGAUGUAAAAUGCCUUGAGGAUCUGAAGAAACCAACCCAAACUUUUGAUGACGAUGAUGAUGAUGAGGCUUACAAGAAGAGGAAGAAGAAGAACAAGCAAUCAUCUUCAUCUUCAUUUUCUGCAGCUAUUAACAGCAAUGUGAAUUUCUCAAACUACCCUUGUCGAAGGGUCUCUAGUAGCACCCACUGUUCCUCACCUUGUGUUGCUUAGGAAAAAAGAAGCUUACACUUUCUCAAUUUAUUUAGUAGCUCCUUUGGUUUUUAUUCUCAACCCAACACUGAAAACACAAACUUCAGUUCAGUGUGUGGGGGCGUCAUUCAUAUCCAAUUUUUGAUUUUCUUUACUGUUUUUAUGUCUUUUUUUUGUGGUUAUCUUUUUUUCUUGCGCAAAUUAUGUAGAUUUGGAUGUGUUUGUUCCAAUUUGCUUAUUGGGACAAAAAUGUUGGAAAUCCUUUCGAAUGUAAUCAUACGUACGCAUAGAAUUGAAUAAUAAGUGAA